rnacentral:tRNA from 1 species
GGUGAGAUGGCCGAGUUGGUUAUGGCGCCAGGUUAAGGUUUUCUUAACAUUAAUUCCUGGUCACGAAAGUGGCGUGGGUUCGAGUCCCACUCUCAUCA